rnacentral:rRNA from 1 species
UACGAAGGGGGCAAGCGUUGUUCGGAAUUACUGGGCGUAAAGGGCUCGUAGGCGGCCAACUAAGUCGGACGUGAAAUCCCUCAGCUUAACUGGGGAACUGCGUCCGAUACUGGAUGGCUUGGAUUUGGGAGAGGGAUGCGGAAUUCCAGGUGUAGCGGUGAAAUGCGUAGAUAUCUGGAGGAACACCGGUGGCGAAGGCGGCAUCCUGGACCAAUAUUGACGCUGAGGAGCGAAAGCUAGGGGAGCAAACGGG